rnacentral:lncRNA from 1 species
GGCACUUCCUAGUUGCCUUCAGAUCAAAAUAAUCCUUAUGCCAAAGUGACAAAUUUUGGGGUGACACAUCCUGAUCUCCUUUGUUUCCCCUGCCUGAAUCUUUACAGGAACUUUCACAUAUCAAAGGCCAAGUUGGUAGCUGUGGAGAGAGAUUUACGCUAGAAGUUGCAGGGCAAGAGAUCUGCAAAGGGGGAAGAACAUCAACCGAAACAAGAAUAAAUCAGCAGGAAAGAACAAAUCUUAGCAGAUGCCCCCUCUCCCGUGAAAUCAGCCCCAGUCUCUGGGUCCUGGGAGUGAAGUACUUUGGCCUGUAGCUGAUUGCAAGAGCCUUCAGGAAAGCAUAAGAAUAAAAUGAUAACUGUCUGUGAAUGACAAAAGACUUAAAGUGGCCAUGGUUGAAGAUCUGAUGAGAGUUCAUUUUAACUCAACUGACAAGGAAAUUUUGUUGCUUCUGUGACAUCCAACAUUUUAAGAUAAUAAGUAGAAUUAUGACUGAUAACAUUAUACCAGGACACGUCAUGAACGGCAAGCUGCGACUUCACCGUGUGGCCCCAGGUGUGCUGUGUAUCCUCCGUGAUCUCUUAACCAUGGAUGCAAGAGGCAUCUCCAAAGAGAGUGCAAAAGAUGCAGCCACACGAUCCAGAGUCACUCCCACAGACAGCCGCAGAAGACAGAUGUCAAUGAACACCCUGAGAGCUGGCAACAAUCAAUGAGAUGGCAGCCACAAUAUUUCUGUUCAGCUAACUACAAAUUUUGGGGUCCCCCAACCUGAUAGUUGGCUGCCUAUAGAUGCAGCCCUGACAACCCGGUGCCCCCGGCAGGCAGAAAGUCAAAUCAAGCUUUCAGACAUAAAAUGAGGCAAACAGGAAAGCAAUGGCUGUCCCUGGGAAAGAAAGAAUCAAUGACCCAUGAGUACUCAAGACCAAGAGUCACCCAAGAGUAAUACCCAAAGAAGUAGAUCCUUCCAGUGUUUUCUCCUGGACGAGGAGCGCUCUUACUGCCCUCAUCUGAUCAGACUCCAAGCAAAAUUCCGAGAGGCUGACUUGGUAAGAUUUUUCACUUUUGGCAAGCUUUGUCCAGCAUCCUGAGUUCUCAGCUACGAAAUGAUUGGGGUGUCCCAGCUGUCCUUUUGUGGUCACCAGAACUCCAGAGGGGGAAGAAUCCCACCUUUUCCUCUACUCUCUGAGGUUCAGUGGCUGAGGCCUGUGAAGCCACAAAAGACAGAUUCACAGGAGACAAGGUUUAUUUUGCCUGCAUACAGAGGCUUCCCAGAAAGCAAGUGAAAACCUAGAGAAGCGGGUAGGCCCCAGGGGCUUAUAGACCAUUUUUAUAAAGGGUGAUAAGUUGUGGAGAAGAGACCAGACAAAGGAAAAGAGGGCUUUGGUAGCUGUGGGAAGGUGACUAGGAAAUGUGUGGUAAACAAGGGUUGUUUAGUAAGGUUUGUCAGGCAGUCUCAAGACAUCUCAGGC